rnacentral:rRNA from 1 species
UACGUAGGGGGCAAGCGUUGUCCGGAAUCAUUGGGCGUAAAGAGCGCGUAGGCGGCCAGAUAAGUCCGGUGUGAAAGUCACAGGCUCAACCUGUGAAUGCCGCUGGAAACUGUCUGGCUAGAGUCCGGAAGGGGCGAGUGGAAUUCCUGGUGUAGCGGUGAAAUGCGCAGAUAUCAGGAGGAACACCGAUGGCGAAGGCAGCUCGCUGGGACGGUACUGACGCUGAGGCGCGAAAGCGUGGGGAGCAAACAGG